rnacentral:rRNA from 2 species
UGGGGAAUAUUGGACAAUGGGCGAAAGCCUGAUCCAGCAAUGCCGCGUGAGUGAUGAAGGCCUUAGGGUUGUAAAGCUCUUUUACCAGGGAUGAUAAUGACAGUACCUGGAGAAUAAGCUCCGGCUAACUCCGUGCCAGCAGCCGCGGUAAUACGGAGGGAGCUAGCGUUGUUCGGAAUUACUGGGCGUAAAGCGCGCGUAGGCGGUUUUUUAAGUCAGAGGUGAAAGCCCAGUGCUCAACACUGGAACUGCCUUUGAAACUGGAAAACUUGAAUCUUGGAGAGGUCAGUGGAAUUCCGAGUGUAGAGGUGAAAUUCGUAGAUAUUCGGAAGAACACCAGUGGCGAAGGCGACUGACUGGACAAGUAUUGACGCUGAGGUGCGAAAGCGUGGGGAGCAAACA